GCCAAGUCAGCAUAGAAUAAAGACCUUUUCAACACUAACUGCAGAGCAACCAGAUUUCCAGAAGAAAAAUUCCUAUGCUCUUCGUGGGACUUACUCAUUACAGAAGCUUCCUGGACACCAUUUUCUCCUGCUCACAGGGUCUCUCCGUGAAGCUGGAGCUCACCGUUUAGGCUGGCCUGGCAGGCCAAGGAGCUUCUGGAACCUCCGUGUCUCCACCACCACUCUACGCACAAGCAGCCAUGAGGGGCUUUUAACUGGCAUUUGAACUUGGGACCUCAUGUUUCUUCAGCAAGCACUUUACUGACUGAGCAAUUUUUUCAGCCCCUACUGUGUCUCUUUCAAAUGCCCAUCCUGCUUAGCUUUGCUGUCUCAAAAGCUUCCUUCACUCUCCGAACAGGACUGGAGAGCUCGUCUCAGUCAAGCUGGGCUGAGUGUCCUCCCAUGUAGAGGUAGGAAAAUCUUGGCUGGAAGAACCCAGUGAUCCCCUGGAGUUUGAAGACAACAUAGACAAAAAAGGUGGGACAGUAGAAAAUGCUGGAAGAGGACAUGUCAUUCAUUAUCACCCCAUGCUCAGCUCCAGUUGGGAGUUAAAAACUAUGAACAAAAUUUAAACAGACAAGAAUACACCAAUGUCCCAAGGUGACGUCUAUCAAUGUGUGUGCCCGUGUGCACGCGUGUGUGUGUGUGUGUGUGUGUGUGUGUGUGUGUGUACAUACAUCUGUGUUGAGGUCACAGAAGUUACCCAUUUACCUCUCCCUUUACUCCCUGGUGCCUUACCUCGGUGUUCCCAAACAAGAGUCUACCUUGUAAUCAAGCCAGCAAGCAGCCCUAAAGAUGUAGUCUACAGAGCCAGUGUUACAAAGGACGGGUUGAGAAAAGCAGAGGAUGGCUUGGGGAAGAGAUGGAAGAGGCGCGAGAUAGCCGGUGUACCUCGGGGACCUGGCAGCUCCAUCUGUCUGCAAGACAAGUCUGGCUUUACUUGUUUUCAGAGUCUUCCCUUCAGUAGAAGAAAACAGUAAGUCUGCAUCUCUCUGCUGGGGUGUGUGUAUGUGUGUGAGCAUGCAUCUGACAACAUUUCUAGACUCAGAAAUCAGACUGAGCUUGAGUCUGGCCCUAGCACUCCCUAGAAAUGAUUAUGGCUGAGGUUCUUGAUUCUGUCAAGCUCUAGCUUCCUUACCUAUGAAGUGAGACUAAGGGACAAAGAAGAUGGCUCAGCCAGUAGAGGUGAUUGCUGCCAAGCCUGACAAUCUGGGUUUGGUCCCUGGUGUCCUCAUUGGAGGGGGGAUGAGGGAGUUAUACCACAGGUUGUCCUCUCUCCUCCACACAUAUACAGGACACACAUACACCUCCACGCCAAGUGUCUGUCCAUAGACCUACAGACACAAUGAUAAAUAAAGAAACGCGGUAUCAAUUUUAUUUUUAACUAUUUUAUCAUUAUUAUUAUUUUAAUGUAUUACAUGGGUAUUUGCCUACAUGUAUGUCUGUGCACCGCGUAUGUGCUGGUACCUGUGGAGGUCAUAAGAAGGCACUGUGUCUCCUGGGACUGGAGUGACAGCCUGCUGUGAGUGGCCAUGAGGGUGCUAGGAGUCAAGCUAAGUCCUCUGGAAGAGUAGCCACAGGCCUUAACUGCUGAGCCAUCUCUUUGACCACUGUAAUAUAAUUUUUAAAAUGGAUACACCAUCACCUAUUUUAAAAGGGAUUUGUGUCAUGAGAUGGUACAUGUAAAAUGCUCAGCACUGGCUUAGAGUGCAGAUACAGCGAAGACCUUUUCCUUGGGGCUGAAAUUUCUUGAGCCACGUUGGAACAAUGGUCUUUGCCCAUCUUCCAGGAAAAGGCGAAUUUAGGACAGGCUCCUUCUAAAUUCAGAUGUGAAGGCAGACGAGAAUCUCUCGGGCCUGCUAAGAGUACAUCGAACCAGCAUGUCAGCAGACACACUGAACAGAGCGGCAUCAAGGCACCCUCAAAUAAGAGGAAGAUAGUUCCUUCAUAUGCAUGUGGCCAGGGCAGUUUCUGGUCAUUUCCCCCCCAAACCAAAUGUGCAAGCUCUUUGUAGGACAGAUGACUGCCGCCAAUGCUGAAGAGUUAUGGAGCAAGACACAGCAUCAUGGACGCAGUGAAUGCCACUAACUAUAUCCCUGAGAAUGAGUACCAGUAAACGUUUUAUCGGCUUUUAACAACAGUAAAAAUAAUGUGUAUAUUUUUUUAAAAAAUUUUUUCCCUGACAACAGCGAUAGCAACAAACAAAAACCAUCAGAACAAAAUGUUUUUAAAGUCUGCUGGGGCCACUGUAACAGAGUCAUAAGUUGAAUUGGGUAAGUAACAGAAAUUUACAUUCCCAAUGUUGUGAGGAAAAGUCUAGAUCAAGUCUUAGGCAGUGUGAAAGGACCUUAUAUUUGGUAAGUGCUCUCUACCUGAUGACAGAGGCCAGUUUUGUGCUGUGUCCUCAUCUGGCCUUUGCUUGCUGGGAGCAUGGCAGGGGGAUGUUCUCUUUCUCUAUUGGAGUAGGAAACCACUUCUAUGACUUAAUUUAAUGUUAAGUACCUGCUGAAAGGUCUGUCUCUAAGCAUACUGACAUCUGGUUCAAGUUUCAACAUAGAAGUUUAGAAAGGACACAAAGCAGUCCAAUGACACAAAAUGAAACCCUGGACCCGCAAGUUUCCUAAUGACUAAAGUUCUCCAAUUGCUCUCAAUUACCCUUGGUCUUCAAAAGCCAUGAAUUCAAUCCCGUGAAGCAGCACCUCAGAAAUACGUCCGUGCCCUCACCAAAAACCAUGUACAUAAUAUUCAGGGCCCAGACUGAAAAGAAGCCAAAAUGCAUUUACUCCAAGAUAGAACACAACUCUAUUAUAGCCAGGCCCCAAAAUGGUCCACAGAAGUAAAAAUGAACCACAGUGUGGAUGAAUCCUACAAAUGUAAUAGAAGAAGUGAAAAUGAAAUAAAGUACAUUGUGUUCUUUUUUUA